rnacentral:rRNA from 1 species
CUCGUAGGCGGUUCGUCGCGUCCGGUGUGAAAGUCCAUCGCUUAACGGUGGAUCCGCGCCGGGUACGGGCGGGCUUGAGUGAGGUAGGGGAGACUGGAAUUCCCGGUGUAACGGUGGAAUGUGUAGAUAUCGGGAAGAACACCAAUGGCGAAGGCAGGUCUCUGGGCCGUCACUGACGCUGAGGAGCGAAAGCGUGGGGAGCGAACA